rnacentral:rRNA from 1 species
CUGCGGAUGAUCAUUA